UUGAAGUUUGCAUGGAAUAAAGUAGGCUACUUGUAAAUGUAUCUAAAUUGCUAUUACGUAAUACUUUUUCUUCUAUAAAACAUAAAGAACGCAGCGGGGGUAAUAUAGCACAGGAUCACAGAAAUCUGAAUAUGAGCGCGCGUGCGUUUGUUCGAGAACACACUACCAACUGACACUGUAGCUGGCCUGUCCUUAAAAAGACGCCACGCUUUUAAGAGUAACAAGGUGAAAAUGGAAGGACAUCUGUAGGCCUCCCGUCUGUGACCCUUGAGAAUCUGAGCCACUUGCCUUUUCCACUAAAGGGUUUCCCCAACAGUGGGUGAGUUGGAACAGGCAGGCAGCCAUGCAUCUGGCUGCUGCUGUUGAGAUUAUUGUGAUG